rnacentral:lncRNA from 1 species
UUAAAGUAACCUAAUAUGUAUGUUUAAAUAAAUUUUUAAAAAGUUGAAUGCUAAAUAAAUUAAAGAAAUAAUGAAUUAUACAUACUGAAAUGGAAAUAAACUCAAUUGAAAUAAAUUUAAACUAAAAGGGACAAUUAAUAAAUAAAAUAAGCUGUUGAAACCAAAAUCAGGACCCAAAUGUAACGCGCGCAAACUCGCAAGGACGGAAAAAACAAAUAAACCAUGCCCCAGAACAAUUCAUUUCCGCGCGGACUGAAAUGAGUAGACGCACAAAUUCUUGGGACAAUUUAAAAAAAAAGGAAAAUAUAAACAGGUUUUAAUUACAAGUCAGUGCAAAAAGGGAGGGACCAAACGCGCAACUUAACCAUUUAAAGAGAAUAUGCGCGUAAACCAAGUCAAAACGCGUUCUGUUUCUUCCCCCCAAAAAAGAAAUGCUAUUUUAUUUUAUUACUUAAAUAAAAAAACUGUUUUAAAAUCAUUUGAUUUUUGCGUUUAGAAAAAAAACCUAAUGCUCCCAAAUCUCUUUACCUUUUCUCUCCAGCCGAAAAGCUAUGUUCAAGCUUUCAACCGCCCGCUUGUACCGGCGAAGUAAGGCCCUCCAAUGGUGCGAGCACGACGCGCGAUAAGUUUAUUCUCCUCUCUCUGAUCCUUCGCAUGUGUUGUGGAUCCAAAUGAAAAAAAGAAAAAAGAGGAAAAAUAGAAUAAAAUUGCAGUAAAUAAUCACCUUAGAAGUAUUCUUGGUUGCUUUUCUACUAAUUUUCAUAUGUAUUUUGUAUUAUCACUCGUCCGUCAAAAAAAACAAAUGAAAAUUCGUGGCCUUUUAUAGCCAUUUUUACAUCUGUUUCUUCUCCACUAGUUGCAGGUAUGGCGAACGUGGUUCGAAGUGCAAGGAUGUGGGGCGGGCAAUACGCGAGUCAAGGGGUCGUGUGUGGGGCGUGCGUUGGUGGCUGCUGGUGGCUGCGGCGCAAGGCAAAUAGAACCCUAGGGCUUGCUAUUUCUGAAAACGAUUUGGGCCAUUGGGCUUGUGUAAUCAAGUAUUGGGCCAUUGCAAAGUUUUGGGCCUAGUGUAACUAUAUUUGGGAUUGUUUUUUUUGUUUUAUUUUUUCUGUAUAUGUAUGGGCUCGGGCUAAAAAUUGAGUCUACAACAGUGAUAUAAAAGUUUCUCAAAGUUUGUUUUACAUUUAAGGGCACACAUGACAUUUUAUAAAAAUUGUUCUAACACUUUAAUCAAACUAAGAAAACUACAUAAAUUUAAGAUGUCUCCCAAACAUUAAGCUAAUUAUUCCUUAUGUUUUAAGAAGCCAUUUUAAUACUCAUAUAAUAAAUAAGGUUUUCUUAUAUUUUUACACGCGAUAUUAAGAUUUUAUAUAAGAGAAAGAGAACAAACAUUUAGUUAACGAUAACUAAGUAAGAUAAAUUGAAAAAUCGAAAAACGACCUAAAUUAAAGUGUUUGAACUAUUUAUGAAAUACAAAUUUAAAGUGGUUACUUGAAAUCGAACUAAAUUUUAUUUUUAUUUAAUAUAUAAAUUAUUUUAAUUUUUUAUGGUAUAAAAUAAAUAUUUUAUAUUUAAAAUAGUAAAAUAUUUAAACGAAAAAUUAUUUUGUUUUAUAAAUACUAAUGAAAAAAAUUUAGAAAUUUUGUCAAAUCAUAUUCAAAAAUUAUAAAACAAAGUUUAUUUUGUUAAAAUAAAUUUAAAAAUAGAAAAUCAAACAUUAAUAUAAAAAUCGAGAACCGAACCGCACAUCGAAUUAUGAAAAAUUAAAAAAUCUAAAAAAAUCCCAUCAAACAUAUCACCCUAGACUGAAUUAUAAUUUUCUUAAUUUUACUAGAAAAAGAAAAGGCAAAUAAGAGAGCAGAAUGGUCUAAUCUAAUUCUAAAAAAAAAAAAAAAAUCAGAUUGCAUGCAAAUUGUCCG